rnacentral:rRNA from 1 species
CCGAGUGUCUGAAGAAGGCCUUCGGGUUGUAAAGGACUUUUGUCCGGGAGGAAACCCUGAUCGUUAAUAGCGGUCGGGACUGACAGUACCGGAAGAAUAAGCACCGGCUAACUACGUGCCAGCAGCCGCGGUAAUACGUAGGGUGCAAGCGUUAAUCGGAAUUACUGGGCGUAAAGCGUGCGCAGGCGGUGAGAUAAGUCAGCUGUGAAAGCCCCGGGCUCAACCUGGGAACUGCGGCCGAAACUGUCUCGCUAGAGUACGUCAGAGGGGGGUGGAAUUCCACGU